rnacentral:tRNA from 1 species
GCCGCCGUAGCUCAGCUGGUAGAGCGACGGUUUUGUAAACCGUAGGUCCCCGGUUCGAAUCCGGGUGGCGGCU